UCCUCGCUCCUCCGACGCACAUCAGACCACUGGAAGGGGCCAUUCUACAAGGAGUUGUUGAGCACCUGCUGUCUAUCUACAGAAAUCUUGAAAUGUGGAACAGAGAUGGAAAUAUAGCAUGCAAGUCAGAAUGAAUUGCCAAACAAUGACAGAAGGCUGCUCUGAAAUGAUCAAAAUUUUCUCCUGGGACCUCACACCAAAGGAAUAUAAUAGGCAUUCAUUUCUAAGACAAUGCGGAUGAAGAAAUAAGAAUGGAAGCAUAAUCAUUUGUCCGAGGUCACAGAGGGAGAUGAUUACACAGCUGGAAUGUAAGCCUCAGUACUUUACUGAAUCCUUGGCUUUGUCCAUGGGCCCAGCUACAGGCAUAAAGCUUUUCUCUUCCCCAGCAGUGACUUCGAGUACCAGCUUUCAAAUUUAUUUGACAUUGAAUCUAAGCUUUGUGACCAGUAUGUAGAAGGAGAAGAAGGGGAGGAAUUACUUAUCCUUUGGCAUACAUUAGCAUGCAAAUAAAUCCUUUCUCUGCAUUGUGGAAGGGUCUGAAAUUAUCACAUAUACAAUGUAUCUUUUAUCAAUGGCCUUGCAUACAAAUUUUACUUUGAAGAAUCCAGAUUUAGAGGUCUUCUCCAAACAUUUGCAUUGUUUCUUUUUCUUAGGAUCAGAACUUCUACCUAUUGUCAUUUUAAGAAAAAAGAUCAUGAAUUAAUUAAUUUAUUCAUUAUUUACACCCUUAUAUUCUUUCCCAAAUGUUUUAAUGUGGCUUACAUUGUAUACAUGUACACAAUAAAUAUUUAUAUUUAAAUAAGUUAUAAUCACAGAAUGAGAAUAUUAUUACAACCACUCAUACUCAUUCAAAUAGCUUGAUUAUAUCAUUGAGCUUUUCUUUUAGUUCUGGGUUUUUUGCUGCCUAGUUUAAAUCAGAAUGGCAUCUGAUUUAAUUAAUGGAAACUGAGUUUAUUUGAUUGAUGGAAACAAGAUGAUUUCAAGUGUGAUGCACUUUUUCUGUACUAACGUUUGAGAUACAUUUAUUACAACUGGCCACUUCAUAAUGGGCCAUAAGCAUUGUUUAAAGACAAUGGCUACUAUUGUUUGAAAGCUAAGGAAAGAUCCAAUGCUACCAGAUGUAUAUUGGCUGAGAAAUGAUCAGCUGAAACUACAGGCUGAAAUGCUGUAUAAG
rnacentral:lncRNA from 10 species